rnacentral:rRNA from 1 species
AUUGAACGCUGGCGGCAGGCCCAACACAUGCAAGUCGAACGGUAACAGGAAGAAGCUUGCUUCUUUGCUGACGAGUGGCGGACGGGUGAGUAAUGUCUGGGAAACUGCCUGAUGGAGGGGGAUAACUACUGGAAACGGUAGCUAAUACCGCAUAACGUCGCAAGACCAAAGAGGGGGACCUUCGGGCCUCUUGCCAUCGGAUGUGCCCAGAUGGGAUUAGCUAGUAGGUGGGGUAACGGCUCACCUAGGCGACGAUCCCUAGCUGGUCUGAGAGGAUGACCAGCCACACUGGAACUGAGACACGGUCCAGACUCCUACGGGAGGCAGCAGUGGGGAAUAUUGCACAAAGGGCGCAAGCCUGAUGCAGCCAUGCCGCGUGUAUGAAGAAGGCCUUCGGGUUGUAAAGUACUUUCAGCGGGGAGGAAGGGAGUAAAGUUAAUACCUUUGCUCAUUGACGUUACCCGCAGAAGAAGCACCGGCUAACUCCGUG